AUGAAUGUAAUGAUAUAAUUUUGAUAACACAUAUUACAUAUUAAACAAGUCAAAUUGAUGAUCUAGAACAACACACAUGUCCUAUACACUGCACGGUGGGAAUACUAACAUUAAUUUAGAUUUAGGACCCCUAAAUUUUAGUUUCCCCCGGCCUCCGAAAUCCCAGGACCGGCCCUGCUUAUUUCCUUCAUUGGGGGCGUCGGGCCAAGCUCCGACAGCCGCGAGCUUGGAUGCCAUGGCUGGGCUCCUGUUGACACAAGAAGGAGAGACAAAGAGAUGGUGAGAGGGAGAGAUGAGAGAGGGAAACGGGAGGAGGGAGAGGGAUGGAGAUGCUGAGGAAGAGGGCGUCCUGGGUCCUUUUCUGUCGAGCUCGUCGGCGCGGUGGAGUCCAACGGGGAGGUACAGGUCCGGCAGGUGGUACUGGUCCUCGGGUGACAUCGGCUUGGACGUGGGGCUCGUGCAGGUGAAGCAGAGGAGGCUGGCGAGCAGAAGCGCUAGGCAUCAGGGGACUGGUUCCAUCGAGGGGAGCCGAUUCCCGGCGUCGAGAGGCUGCAAGCAGAGCUCAAAAUGGAGCUGCUCUAGCUCCAUGGUUGCGACUGCUCUUGUCCAAAGACAGAACGCGAGAUGAUUGAGGGGGAAGAAUGUUGGGCAUAAGCCACUACGACGCGUAGGGCGAGCGUGUG
rnacentral:lncRNA from 1 species